rnacentral:rRNA from 1 species
GAUGAACGCUGGCGGCGUGCUUAAUACAUGUAAGUCGGACGGGGCGUUAGCAAUAGCGCUUAGUGGCGAACGGGUGAGUAACACGUUGGUGACCUGCCCCGAAGCGGGGGAUAACAGUUCGAAAGGACUGCUAAUACCGCAUGAGGUCGUGAGGAUUAGAAGCUUACGACGAAAGCAGCGAUGCGCUUUGGGAGGGACCUGCGGCCCAUCAGCUAGUUGGUAAGGUAGAAGCUUACCAAGGCGACGACGGGUAGGGGGCCUGAGAGGGUGAUCCCCCACACUGGCACUGAAACACGGGCCAGACACCUACGGGUGGCUG